rnacentral:antisense_RNA from 1 species
GCCAUGAACGAGCAGAUCACGAAGACCGAG